ACGCUGAAACACCGGUUCCCAUGCGUUCACCGCAGUUAAGCAACGUAGAGCUUGGUCAGUAACUAGAUGGGUGUUCGCUUGGGAAUACCAGGUACUGUAA